rnacentral:rRNA from 1 species
CAAAGGCCCCCCCUGUGCAAGGGGUUCCCCCAAGGGCCGCCUGAAAAAGGCGGCUUUUCCUUGGUCUAACCCCUUAAAGAAUAAAAGGGGGGCAAGACUGGUGUCAGCCGCCCCUUUAACACCAGCCCCUCGAGUGGUGGGGAUGAUUAUUUGGCCUAAAGCGUCCGUAGCGGCCGGGUAAGUCUCCCGUUAAAUCCAGCGUCUCAAGCGUUGGACUGCGGGAGAUACUGUCUGGCUAGAGAGUGGGAGAGGUGUACGGUAUUCUGGGGGUAGGGGCGAAAUCCUUUGAUCCCCGGAGGACCACCAGUGGCGAAGGCUGUACACUAGAACACGUCUGACGGUCAGGGACGAAAGCUGGGGUAGCGAACCGGAUUAGAUACCCGGGUAGUCCCAGCCGUAAACGAUGCACGCUAGGUGUUGGGGUGGCUACGAGCUGCCUCCAGUGCCGCAGAGAAGUCGUUAAGCUCGCCGCUUGGGGAGUACGGUCGCAAGGCUGAAACUUAAAGGAAUUGGCGGGGGA